ANAGUUUGAUGCUGGCUCAGAACGAACGCUGGCGGCACGCUUAACACAUGCAAGUCGAACGAGAAAGUUUCCUUCGGGAAGCGAGUAGAGUGGCGCACGGGUGAGUAACACGUGGAUAAUCUGCCCUUAAGUCUGGGAUAACCUCUCGAAAGGGGGGCUAAUACCGGGUAAGCCCACAGAGUCUUCGGAUUCAGUGGGAAAAGAUGACCUCUUCUAUGUUAUCGCUUUAGGAUGAGUCCGCGGCCCAUUAGCUAGUUGGUAGGGUAAUGGCCUACCAAGGCUACGAUGGGUAGCUGGUCUGAGAGGAUGAUCAGCCACACUGGAACUGAGACACGGUCCAGACUCCUACGGGAGGCAGCAGUGGGGAAUUUUGCGCAAUGGGGGAAACCCUGACGCAGCAAUGCCGCGUGAGUGAUGAAGGUUUUCGGAUCGUAAAGCUCUGUCAGAGGGGAAGAAACUAUUGUUGUUUAAUCGCAACAGUACUGACGGUACCCUCAAAGGAAGCACCGGCUAACUCCGUGCCAGCAGCCGCGGUAAUACGGAGGGUGCAAGCGUUGUUCGGAAUUAUUGGGCGUAAAGCGCGUGUAGGCGGACUGUUAAGUCUGAUGUGAAAGCCCGGGGCUCAACCCCGGAAGUGCAUUGGAUACUGGCAGUCUUGAGUAUGGGAGAGGAAAGUGGAAUUCCGAGUGUAGGGGUGAAAUCCGUAGAUAUUCGGAGGAACACCAGUGGCGAAGGCGGCUUUCUGGACCAAUACUG
rnacentral:rRNA from 1 species